AUUGAACGCUGGCGGAAUGCUUUACACAUGCAAGUCGAGCGGCAGCACGGGGGCAACCCUGGUGGCGAGCGGCGAACGGGUGAGUAAUACAUCGGAACAUGCCCAGUCGUGGGGGAUAACACUUCGAAAGAAGUGCUAAUACCGCAUACGUCCUGAGGGAGAAAGCGGGGGAUCUUCGGACCUCGCGCGAUUGGAGUAGCCGAUGUCAGAUUAGCUAGUUGGUGGGGUAAAGGCCUACCAAGGCAACGAUCUGUAGCUGGUCUGAGAGGAUGAUCAGCCACACUGGGACUGAGACACGGCCCAGACUCCUACGGGAGGCAGCAGUGGGGAAUUUUGGACAAUGGGGGCAACCCUGAUCCAGCCAUUCCGAGUGAGUGAAGAAGGCCUUCGGGUUGUAAAGCUCUUUCGGCAGGAACGAAACGGCGAGCUCUAACAUAGCUUGCUAAUGACGGUACCUGAAGAAGAAGCACCGGCUAACUACGUGCCAGCAGCCGCCGUAAGAC
rnacentral:rRNA from 1 species